UACGGAGGAGGCAAGCGUUAUCCGGAAUUAUUGGGCGUAAAGCGUCCGCAGGUGGCACUUCAAGUCUGUCGUCAAAGACUGGGGCUUAACCCUGGAAAGGCGGUGGAAACUGAAGCGCUAGAGUGCGGUAGGGGUAGAGGGAAUUCCCGGUGUAGCGGUGAAAUGCGUAGAUAUCAAGAGGAACACCAGUGGCGAAGGCGAGUCCCUGGACAACACCUGACACUGAGGCACGAAAGCUAGGGGAGCAAACAGG
rnacentral:rRNA from 1 species